UACGUAGGGGGCAAGCGUUGUCCGGAUUUAUUGGGCGUAAAGAGCGUGUAGGCGGCCAGACAGGUCCGUUGUGAAAACUCGAGGCUCAACCUCGAGACGCCGAUGGAAACCGUCUGGCUAGAGUCCGGAAGAGGAGAGUGGAAUUCCUGGUGUAGCGGUGAAAUGCGCAGAUAUCAGGAAGAACACCUAUGGCGAAGGCAGCUCUCUGGGACGGUACUGACGCUGGGACGCGAAAGCGUGGGGAGCGAACAGG
rnacentral:rRNA from 1 species